AUGGUAGGAUAGAGGCCUACCAUGGUGGUAACGGGUAACGGGGUGUUAGGGCACGACACCGGAGAGGGAGCCUGAGAAACGGCUACCACAUCCAAGGAAGGCAGCAGGCGCGCAAAUUACCCAAUCCCGACACGGGGAGGUAGUGACAAUAAAUAACAAUACGGGGUUCUUUGAAUCUUGUAAUUGGAAUGAGUACAAUUUAAAUCUCUUAACGAGGAACAAUUGGAGGGCAAGUCUGGUGCCAGCAGCCGCGGUAAUUCCAGCUCCAAUAGCGUAUAUUAAAGUUGUUGCAGUUAAAAAGCUCGUAGUUGAAUUUCGGGAUCAAUACGUCGGUCGUGCUUUCGGGUACGUACUGGUGUCAUUGGUUUCUCCUUUCUGACGAACCAUGAUGUCAUUAAUUUGGUGUUAUGGGGAGUUAGGACUGUUACUUUGAAAAAAUUAGAGUGUUUAAAGCAGGCAUUAGCUUGAAUACAUUAGCAUGGAAUAAUGAAAUAGGACGUUCGAUCCUAUUUUGUUGGUUUCUAGGAUCAACGUAAUGAUUAAUAGGGAUAGUUGGGGGCAUUAGUAUUCAAUUGUCAGAGGUGAAAUUCUUGGAUUUAUUGAAGACUAACUACUGCGAAAGCAUUUGCCAAGGAUGUUUUCAUUAAUCAAGAACGAAAGUUAGGGGAUCGAAGACGAUCAGAUACCGUCGUAGUCUUAACCAUAAACUAUGCCGACUAGGGAUCGGAUGAUGUUAAUUUUUUAAUGACUCAUUCGGCGCCUUACGGGAAACCAAAG
rnacentral:rRNA from 1 species